GGCGCUAUCGGAGUUGCUUUUGUGAUUCCUUUAGACUGCCGAGAAGUCGCGCAAACUAAUCUAUUUAGAGGAAGUAAAAGUCGUAACAAGGUUUCCGUAGGUGAACCUGCGGAAGGAUCAUUACCGAAUGACCGUAUGUGUUAUACACUGUGAACUGUACGCUUCAAAACAGAGUGGGGUAUCUUCUGCUAAGAAGAUUUGAAAGGUAAUCAUAACGUGACAACCUGCCCCGCUUUGAAACUUUGAAACUUAUAUAUAUACACCAUUAUAUUCCAAGCGUUAACUAUUUUUAGUUGACUCAAUGUAAAAAUUGUGACAACUUCUAACGGUGGAUCUCUUGGCUCGUGUAUCGAUGAAGAACGUAGCCAGUUGCGAUAAGUAAUGUGAAUUGCAGAAUGAAGUGAAUCAUCGAAUCUUUGAACGCAAAUUGCACUCUCUGGAUAUCCGGGGAGUAUGCCUGUCUGAGUGUCGUGUCAAACCUAAACACACACUUGUGUGUGUUGCUUGAGGGCUCUUGUUACUUACUUGUAACAAGUCUCUUGAUGUUACUGUGAGUUGUUCGCACUAGUGAACAGAAGGCUCAACUUGCUUCUGUCUUUCUGACACUUGUGUGGGCACAUUAUUGUGUUUGUACUCUUUGCCAGUCCGAACAAUAUAUAACAUCUUUGACCUCAGAUCAGACAAGAUUACCCGCUGAAUUUAAGCAUAUUAAUAAGCGGAGGAAAAGAAACUAACCAGGAUUCCCUUAGUAACGGCGAGUGAAGCGGGAAGAGCUCAAGCUUGAAAUCUCUGUUGCUUGCAACAGCGAAUUGUAGUCUACGGAAGUAUUGUCAAGGCAAUGUGUUUGUGCUCAAGUUGCUUGGAACGGCAUGUCAAAGAGGGUGAGAACCCCGUUUGCGGCACAAAC
rnacentral:rRNA from 1 species